AAAAAGGAAGCACAAUGUUAUAAUAGUCAAGUGAGAAACAUCUUUUAAGUACAAGAAGUAAUCAAUUGUGUCAAAUGCAAUGGAAAGUCAAGAAGAAAGAUUCAGCCAGCUCCGAGGAUGCACACAUUCUCCUAGACUGGGCAGUGUGAGUUUCUUUCCAAGGUCGGGUUGGGACUUUAGAGUCUGAACUUGGAUCUACUUGGGAAGAGGCAUCGCAGGAUCUUCAAAGAAGAGCCUCCCUCUAUGAGAAAAGUGAACAAUUGAAAGUGCAGGAGCCUGCCCCAGGUCCCACACACCUGUUGGAGGUGUCUGUGGUAUUGUGGUGAACCAAUCAUUCAAACUUCCUCCCUUCAGGGUUCUCUACUGUGGGAGCCAUG